AACAUUGGUUCCCAUCCAAUCAUCGAAGUUAAGCAAUGUUGAGCCUGGUCAGUACCUAGAAGAGUGACCGCUUGAGAAUACCAGGUGUUGUAAG